UACGUAGGGUGCAAGCGUUGUCCGGAAUUAUUGGGCGUAAAGAGCUCGUAGGCGGUUUGUUGCGUCGGCUGUGAAAUCCCGAGGCUCAACCUCGGGUCUGCAGUCGAUACGAGCAAACUAGAGUGUUGCAGGGGAGACUGGAAUUCCUGGUGUAGCGGUGAAAUGACGCAGAUAUCAGGAGGAACACCGGUGGCGAAGGCGGCCAUCUGGACAACAACUGACGCUGGAGAAUGCGAAAGCGUGGGGAGCAAACAGG
rnacentral:rRNA from 1 species